rnacentral:rRNA from 1 species
GACGAACGCUGGCGGCGUGCUUAACACAUGCAAGUCGUACGGUAAGGCCCUUUCGGGGGUACACGAGUGGCGAACAGGUGAGUAACACGUGAGUAACCUGCCCACAACUUUGGGAUAACGCUAGGAAACUGGUGCUAAUACUGGAUAUGUGCUCCUGCUGCAUGGUGGGGGUUGGAAAGCUCCGGCGGUUGUGGAUGGACUCGCGGCCUAUCAGCUUGUUGGUGGGGUAGUGGCCUACCAAGGCGGCGACGGGUAGCCGGCCUGAGAGGGUGACCGGCCACAUUGGGACUGAGAUACGGCCCAGACUCCUACGGGAGGCAGCAGUGGGGAAUAUUGCACAAUGGGCGCAAGCCUGAUGCAGCAACGCCGCGUGCGGGAUGACGGCCUUCGGGUUGGAAACCGCUUUCAGCAGGGACGAAGCUUUUUGUGACGGUACCUGCAGAAGAAGCACCGGCUAACUACGUG